AUGUCCUUUAUAUAGUGUCUAACCAUCCAAAUGUUAUGUUGACAUUCAGUCCAGCAAAAAAAAGAAAAAAAGUUGACAUUCUGAGGCAAUGAGCAAGCUGUCUUGCCGCUCAAGGGUUUCAUUAGUUUCCUCGCAUAAUCUUUGUGUCAAAAAGAUACGACCAUGCCAAGGACGGGUCAGUGAUAUGGAGGGUUUGUACAAGAUAUCCUGUAAUUGGUCAGCAUUGUUUUCACCAUAACUUAUGAUCUUCACCUUCGUCCGCCCGCUGCAUUUAGUUUUCUCUGCAUGCAAUUGAAAGAAACACGCAUGUAUUCACCAGAAAUAUAUAUGUGGGUGUGUGUGUACAGUACAGUUGUUCCCCCUAGCAGCUGAAGAGAGGGAGGAGAGGCUUUUCCCCUUUCGUUUCCGCAUAGGAGCUGAAGGGAGGGAGGAGACGAGGAGGGAAGACUAAAUCCAGCUCGGGGGAUCCCGAUCUCGCCGUUUCGCAGCUGAGCUCCGGUGAUCUGCCUGCAACUCGCCGGCCUUCACUUCAAUUGGGGAUUGGGGUUUUGCCCUUUUGAGUUGGACUUCUGUGGAGGAAUCAGAUCUGACGUUAACGAUUUCACGAGCUGUUUUUUUCAGUUCACAGCCUCCCAUGCGCGAAGAAGAAGAAUGAGAUCGUUUUCCUGGUAGAUAGUGGAAGUAUUUUCGAGAUAAUUUCCCUGGAAGAAGCAGUGAUAGUGGUAGUGAAUAUGGGGACUGGUUAAGGUUGGAUUAGAGUAUGCAUGCCUGGUCGGGCUGCAAGUCGCACCAGGUCCAAGAUGAAACCGACAAUUGCUCCUCCUGGUCCUUCAACACAAUGUGCUACUGCAGGUCUCUCUCCUGAUCAUCCGAAGUAAAAGAAACAAAAGA